rnacentral:rRNA from 1 species
UGGGGAAUAUUGGGCAAUGGGGGAAACCCUGACCCAGCAACGCCGCGUGAGGGAAGAAGGUUUUCGGAUUGUAAACCUCUGUCGCAGGGGACGAAGAAUGACGGUACCCUGUAAGAAAGCCCCGGCUAACUACGUGCCAGCAGCCGCGGUAAUACGUAGGGGGCGAGCGUUGUCCGGAAUUACUGGGCGUAAAGGGUGCGUAGGCGGUAAAUUAAGUUGGAUGUGAAACCCCCGGGCUUAACUUGGGGACUGCAUUCAAAACUGGUUUACUAGAGUGCAGGAGAGGGAAGCGGAAUUCCUAGUGUAGCGGUGAAAUGCGUAGAUAUUAGGAGGAACACCAGUGGCGAAGGCGGCUUUCUGGACUGUAACUGACGCUGAGGCACGAAAGCGUGGGGAGCAAACAGG